CAUUCAAUGUGCAGUUGGUCUAUUUUAUCACCAACAAGUAGAUCAACUACUCUGUCAAUCAUGUGACUGGCUCCCCCCUCUCUGCGUCAUAAAUGAGUAAACUGCUCUCAAGAGGCAGCCUGCUGAUGUCAUCGAUGCUUGCAUUCAGGGCCAGUUGGGGUUUCUAUGGAGAUGCCAAAAAAAAAUGUAAUUUAUGCAAUUUUCUGGUGACUGGGGAAGGAAGACAUGGGCCUAAUUGGUUACAAAAAAAUAUACCAUGUACAUAGCUACACUAAACUGACUGCUGCUAAAACCCUGCAAUUUUUUUAGGUUUUAUGACACUAUUUUACAAUUUCUGACACCUGUAUAAAAACGAUUGAGAGAUGAAAGAAAAAGUCAUGAGUCAUUCUACAACUGCGAAGCAUGGUAACUCCUAAUAGAAAUGUUAAUUUUGGUUCAGGCUGAGAUUAAUAAGAUUUCAUAUAAUAACAGCUGUACUGGCAGAAUAAGGUCAUGUAACCUGUAUGUGUGGUGUACAACUCUUAUCAGGAGUGGAUAGGUGGGUGGAAUAGUGACAUAUACAUUGCACACUUUGUUUAACACAUCAUCUUUGUUAUUUCUUAUUUCAUAUGAGAAGAUCUACAUAGUCAUAGAUGGUUACUCGCCAAAGUGAGAAUUCAAGGUGAAUUCAAAAUUUAAGGUCCAAAUAACAGAACCUGAAAAAUCCUCUAAAUCAACUCUUCUUUCAGUUUGCCAAUUUUGACCUUAAAUUAGAAAUUCUCUUUGAAUUCACUUUGAAUUCUAACUUUAGUGAAUAACCCUGAUAAUGUUCUCAGUAUCUAACCUAAAUUAAAAUGACAUGUGAGAUUUAAAGACUUAUUCAAUUAACCAUGAAUUGUGGUGAACUAAAAACAAAAUGGCAGAAGCAACAACAUUAGAAAAUUAGCACAUACAGGGUUUUCAUGAAAGUAUGAUUGUCAUUGAGCAUUGAGUUACAUAUGGGUAUAUGUGUAUAAAGCUACUUACAUACGUGUUUGUUUGAAUGAGGCCUGUCACUCUAAAAUUGCCUAGCCCAGGACCCCACAUAAGUUAAUGGGUGGCCCUGUUACCUCCCCUGGAUGAAAGAGCACCAUCCUUAAACCCUAGCAAUAAGAUGUUAAAACCAGCCCCCUUGAUUUCAGAGAGCUGGGCCAUCAUAGUAACUAUAGGGAUCCUGAAUCUAUACUCUCAUAUGACAAAAUGAGUCCAAUAUUAAGUUUGUUUUAAUUAGUAUUAUUACAUGAUACUAUUGAAAGCCUGAACGGAUCCAGCUUAUGUCUAUGCUGAUCACCCAACCAUGGCAUUGCAAUAUGCAGUGAUGCUGCACUAAAAUGGUAAUAAACUAUACAUUACACUUAAACCACACUACACACAUGUCAACAACUAGUUAUUUCUUGUUGAAAAAAGACACAAUAUCUGAACAAUAUUGAAGAUUUCUACUUUGUUACUCUAUUUUUUUAUUCCUGCAGAAUUAUUAUUAAGAAGAAAAAAAUCCCAACAUUUUCUGUAUGCUUUAUUUUGUUUCAGUCUGACACUAAAUUUGCACAAUAAAGCCUCCAUGCAUAUGUUUUUUGGUCUGUAUUCCGAUUUUCAGCACAUGAUGGUUAAUUGAUAUAUUGCAUAUUGUGAUGAAUUGGAUAUUAUUUUUUUGUACUAGUUGCGUGUUCGUUUUUUUUUUUAAGUUUUAGUUAAAAUAGUUAUUAAAAUAAAAUGACACCAGCUUACUAUAGAUAUGGUGGGUAUACAGUAGGUUAGGUUGGAAGUUUAUCAAACAAAAGAGGUGCUAUUCUGGGUGCCAAGUGAUAUAUACUGAGGAAUAUUGUAUUUAUUUUCAUGAUAAU
rnacentral:lncRNA from 1 species